rnacentral:rRNA from 1 species
GACGAACGCUGGCGGCGUGCUUAACACAUGCAAGUCGAACGGUGAAGCAGAGCUUGCUCUGUGGAUCAGUGGCGAACGGGUGAGUAACACGUGAGUAACCUGCCCUUGACUCUGGGAUAAGCGUUGGAAACGACGUCUAAUACCGGAUACGAGCUGAGACCGCAUGGUCAUCAGUUGGAAAGAUUUUUUGGUCAAGGAUGGACUCGCGGCCUAUCAGCUUGUUGGUGAGGUAAUGGCUCACCAAGGCGACGACGGGUAGCCGGCCUGAGAGGGUGACCGGCCACACUGGGACUGAGACACGGCCCAGACUCCUACGGGAGGCAGCAGUGGGGAAUAUUGCACAAUGGGCGCAAGCCUGAUGCAGCAACGCCGCGUGAGGGAUGACGGCCUUCGGGUUGUAAACCUCUUUUAGUAGGGAAGAAGCGAAAGUGACGGUACCUGCAGAAAAAGCACCGGCUAACUACGUG